CAUAUUAUGGUGGUUUACAAGAAAAAAAAAAUGGUAUAGUGUGAAGUUUUUAAUUUUUUAGGGGUUUUAAUAUGAGCAACCGCUCUUUGUACCUUAUAAAAUAUUUAAAAAAAACUGCACUUUGUCCAAACGGUUCAACACUCAAGGGAAUCUCGGUGGAAGUCUAACCAAUUUCUACAUGCUCUUUCGUUCCAAAUACGCCCAACAACUGGAUUCCAACACUUCAACACGCAAGGGAAACUCGGUGGAAAGUCUACCAAUUUCCAGAAGUUCUACGUAUAUCUCAGUUCCCAGCCCUUUAAUUUCAAAUACGCACAAAAACUGGAUGCACUUCUAGCCUUCUAUCAUGGCUGCUGCUAUAUCUCUGCUUUUCCUAUUUCUUAUCUUUUUCACACUGACAGCUGCUCAGCAAACAUCAUCCAAAAUCAGCUUAGGUUCCUCUCUCUCCCCCACUACCAACUCUUCAUGGCUGUCCCCGUCCGGCCAGUUUGCAUUUGGGUUUUAUCAAUACGCCAAUGGCUACGCAGUUGGUAUUUGGUUUGCCAAAAUCCCUACAAAAACAGUGAUUUGGACAGCAAACCGAGACGACCCACCACUGCAACAGGACUCUAGACUGGUCUUGACCAGAGACGGAAGGCUCAUCCUGCAAACCACGGCAUCCCAAUCCACAUCGAUUGCUGAAGCCGCUCAAUCCGCUUCUUGGGCUUCUAUGCUCGACACCGGCAACUUCGUUCUCUGUAAUUCUAGUGGAAACAUCAUAUGGCAGAGUUUUGAUUUCCCAACAGACACCAUUUUACCAGGUCAGCCUCUGCUGGUGGAAGGGAAACUGGUUUCUAGCACUUCAGAGACCAAUCACUCGUCCGGAUGGUUUUACAUUAUAAUGCAGUCAGACGGAAACCUUGUGCAGUAUCCAAUGCAAAAUGCUAAGGCAGAGACUUCUUAUUAUGCUUCCGAUACAUGUUGCCGACGAGACAACGUGACAUUAAAUUUUACCGAUGAUGGUGCUCUCAACUUGUAUAAUACCACCGGCAUCAAUAUUAAAAAUCUGUACAACGGUGGAGUCCAGUGUCGCACCAAUGGAUUUAUAUCUUGCCGAUGGACUAUGGAUGUGGAUGGGAUCUUCAGGCUGUAUGUUUUGGGUCAGAGCGGCAAUUGGUCGACGUCGGUACAUCUAAACCCCCGUAGCUGUCCUACAGGGAUGUGCGGUCUAAAUGGGUAUUGUGUCGUCAUGGAUCAACAAUAUACUUGCAGAUGUAUUCCUGGCUUGGAUUUCAUUGACCAGAGCCAACAGAUCUUGGGCUGUCAGAGAAUUAAUGGCACAGACAGUUGCAGAAACAGUAAACAACAUCCCCAAUUCACCAUGUCCACACUGAAUAAUGUCCAAUGGGAAGACAACGGAUAUGAACUUCUACCGUCCAAGACAGAAGAAGAUUGCAUACAGGCUUGCUGGCAAGACUGUAACUGCGGAGUUGCUCUAUUUUGGGACCAACGGUGCAGCAAGCAGAAGCUUCCGUUGAGGUAUGGGAGAAGAAACGACAAUGACCAGACCAAAACUUUCAUCAAGAUGGUUAUUGGUUCUGGUCCUUCUGGAACCCAAAUGAACACAAAUUCCAUGGAAGCAGGAAGCAAGCCCAAGGAGUUGAGGAAGGAUAUCUUAUUUAUUAUAAUUGCAAUUACUGGUUGUGCCCUUUUAGUUGUCGCACUUUUUGCCAUUUUUGUUCAGAGGAAUCGCUUUAGGUCAUACAGAAAGAUGAUGACGGAUCGAGGAAUUAGAAACUUCAAUGAUGAGGACAUAACACUCCGAUCGUUUACUUAUGCUGAGCUCGAACGAGUCACAGCAGGUUUCAAUCAAGAAUUGGGUAAAGGAGCUUGCGGCACCGUGUUCAAAGGAGUUUUACCAAAUGGUCAGGAUGCUGCAGUCAAGAGAUUGCAUAAAGUAAUAGAUGAAGGAGAACAAGAAUUUCGAACUGAGAUGAGAGUUAUUGGUAGAACCCAUCACAGAAACCUAGUCCGAUUGCUCGGUUAUUGCAAUGAAGGCCUUAAUAGGCUUCUAGUGUACGAGUACAUGAGCAAUGGAUCACUUGCAGACUUUCUCUUCAAAUCUGAAACCCAACCAACUUGGGAUGAAAGAGUGGGAAUUGCUUUGAAUAUAGCCAAAGGUAUCCUGUAUCUACACGAAGAAUGCGAGACUCAGAUUAUCGACUGCGACAUAAAGCCACAGAACAUACUCAUGGGCCACCAUCAAUGCCCAAAGAUUGCAGACUUUGGAUUGGCAAGGCUGUUGAAGCAAGACCAAACAGGGAUAUUGACAGGCAUAAAGGGCACAAGGGGCUAUGUGGCACCAUAGUGGCAUCGAAUUAACAUGCCUAUAACUGUGAAGGUGGACAUUUAUGGCUUCGGGGUUGUGUUGCUGGAGAUAAUCUGCUGCCGAAGGAGUGUCGACGUGAAUCUUCCCGAGGAUCAAGUUGUUGUGGAUUGGGUUUAUGACUGUUUCGAAGCUGGUGAGGUAGGGAUGCUGGUAGGUGAUGAAGUGGUGGAUACGAGAAGUUUAGAGAGGAUGAUUUGGCUGGGACUGUGGUGCAUCCAAGAUGAGCCAUCAAUUCGUCCCUCCAUGAAGAGGUGGUCAUGGUGUUGGAAGGGAAUGCAGAGGUAGCAGUUCCCCCUGGUCCUUCUCUAAGUAACAUCUAUGAAUACGGAUAGUUAUUAAAUAGUUAAUAAAGUGAUUAACGAUUGGUGAAGUUUUUCUUGUCUUGCUCCUAAUAGCUUAAUUUAAUUUCUUGGUCAUCUUUUUCUUUCCUUUCCCUCUUUCCCCUUUUGUCAUCUCCUUCAUUGGUGUCCUAGUUUCCUAGAAAAACAUUUUUUUUUUUUCGAUUAUUAUUAAAAGUUCGAUUAUAAGGGAUCAAUUCAUCGUGUUUGGAAUACAAAUUGUGCAUGGAGUUAACAGUCCAAAGAUAGAGGUUGUGUUUGUUAUCCUUGCGCAGUUCUUGAACUCUGUUUUUGUUGAGCUCACAUCAUCCACUUUGUAUAAAGUUUUCUGCAUCGGUCUGCAUCGGCCAAUUAGAAUUCAUUUCAUCACUUAUAUAAUUUUAAGACUAACAGACACUAACGAGUUAAAAGUUAAUGGGCGUCAGGACUCUGAAUGAUUUUAAUAUUUGUCAAAAAUUAAAAUCCGCCUAAUGGAUGUCACACAGUUAUUUGGUGCUCACUCGUUGUGCUUGCCUAACGUGCCUACUACAUCCUAACCCAUUUUGUCCGGACUCAGAGAACUCUUCUUCUUCCUCUUUCUCUCGUUCUAUGCCUGCCUGCCUCCACUCUCUGUCACGACCUGACGGUUGCUUUGUCGUUACUUUCUCCCUCGGCCUAUACUUUUACUUUCUAUCUCUUUCUCUUUCUCUCUUUGAUCGCUCUCCCUCUUUCCUGUUAUUCUUCUGCAUGGGGACAUUAGCAGUGAUAUGGGUGAUCCAAAACUUGCCAGGUCUUCACGCGUGGUGUACCUUGGUCUUCACGUGUGGUGUACCUUGGUCUUAGACUGCACUGCGUGGUGUACCUUGGUCUUCACGCGUGAAUCCACAGUAGAUGUUACAGAUCUUUAAACUUCUUUGAAGUUUCACACAUUAAGUGAUUAGUUAUUUAUUAUUGAUUUUGUUCAAUAGAUAACUGAAACAGAUAAGAUAAAAUAAGUAUAUAAACCUCCCUCAAUAGCACAGAAGGCAAAAACAGGCCUAGAAGAGGAUACCAUCAAAAACAGAAUUAAGCAAUAAACAAAACACGAGAACCUAUACAAACUACUCUAGGAGUAGGGCCCCAGUAUAACUCUAAUCUCUCAACUCCUCACUGAUGGAUCAUCCAGGAAGUUGGCUGAUCCAAGCACCCAGAUCAAUGAUAUUUCACUCUGGCUGCUAAAGAUGUGGCCUCUCUAAUGUGAUUAAGUAAAUACCAGAGCUCUUCAACACCAUCUCUCAUCCACCCUACGACAUUCUGCAAGUCUCCCUCCACCUUAACAUGCCGCCAACACAAAGACAACAUCAAUUGCUGCUCCCAAAGCAUUGCUAAGGUCCCAGCACAUAGAUAUUGAUUCCACUUGUACUAUAGCUUGGGUAAACCCACAUGAUCUCUGUCCAAGAUUGUGAUUUUCAAAAAUGUACUAUUUUAGUUGCUUAAAAUUUCUUAGUGGUACACCAAAAGAAAUGUUGUUACUGGCCAAAAAAAGCCCAUACCUAACCCAUCGCAUUCUUUUGAACAUGCUAUUCAUUUUUUAAUUAUAAUUUUAUUGCCAAAAGGCAGCAGUUCAUGAUGCAGCUAGAUGGGUAAUAUUAAACUGGAAACAUCAGGAUAGAGAUAAUGAUAUGGACAGUAGCAGAUUUAGGAAAACCCCCCUCUUUCAAUGCAUCUAUGCUUUGAACCCUUGACCAAUCCUUGCAUUCCUUUCUUGUCAUACAACCCAGAACAUUGCUUAUGGAAUCAUUUUCCAAAUUGCAUUUCCUUUCUUACUCAGUCCUUUGAUCUGUCAGCCUUUCAAAAUGGUUUCAAUAGAUGCUGGACAACAUCCCUUGAGAGUAAAUAUCUUUACAACUUUCACCCGAAUCAAACAUCAUUCCUCUAAUUAACAGGUUGUCCUUAGCGAGUAUCUUAUUCAGAUAGGCAGACCAGACGAAGAAAGCUACCUUUGAGAUUCACCUACAACCACCACACUUCCAACCCAACAUCAUUCUCUCUACAAGGUGUUCGUAGGAAAUUAUACAUUGGAGAAAGUAGUUCACCACAAAAGAAAGCCAAGUAAAUUUCCAUGGUCUAAGCAAUUCCAAGCAGCAUUUGAGAGCAUGGGAUACCUUUUUGGAAGGCUAUGUUAUUCUUGGAAGGUAUAGAACUUAGCUUUCAGCCCACGUGUCGACACAGCUGUGCAAUGAAUUUUCUAGCAUGUAUUUUAAUUACGACAAACACAGCUUGAAUAGUUAAUUAAACUCAUAAACUUAAGAGCUCUACAUUCUGAAAUUUUGAAUCACUAUUUAUACUACAUACGUGGUUGACAGUAUGACUAAACAAGUAGACUAUUUUAUGAUUUUAUUCAAAUUAUUAUUUUUUCCCACCCUUAUUUAUACGUUUUUUUUUUUUUUUAAUAUUUUACCUUCCACUUGCCCUUGUACUCUCCGCUAGUACAUAUAUUAUUUCCUUCUAACCUCUACCUUUUUUUUUGACCGUUGGGGUAUGGCCAACACCCAUGUGAUCUGAAAAGCCGUUACAGUACAACUUCUACAGUUAGUUGGGUUUUAUUGGAACGAUCCCGAUACAACGUCUAGACUGGGCAUUGAAAGAACGUGCGACAAUCAGGGCCUCUGCCUCUAAGAUUGAACCUCGGUUGAAUAAGAAAAUUUUUCAAUACAAGAGGAGAGAGACUUCAUCAAUUUUAAAUGGAUUUUUAUGCAUACAUUUUGUGAAAAAGGUUUGAAGUGUAGGGAUGGCAAACGGGGAGGGUUUGGAAGAGUCAAGUUAAACAAAAGAAAAAUGAAAUAGAGAGUAAGGGUAUGUUUGGUUCGCAGGAAUAGAGGUCCGGAAUCGAAAUUCAAAUAGAUCAUUCCGAUUCCAGCCGUUUGGUUGGUUGGAAUCGGAAUCCGAUUCUCAUUUCAGGCGGAAUGGCAUUCCCCCAUUUGAGGGAAUAGCCAUUCCCGGCCCACCCCCUCGGAAUCGGAUUCCCAUUCCAGCCGGUUAAAACAAAAAAAAUGAAAAUGACAAAAAAACCCCUCAAACCCCCCGAUUCCAGCCUUUCAGGUUUCAAACCCUCUUUCUCUUCUCUCGUCACUCCCUCCAAUCCCUUCUGCAGUUCGCAGCCGAACUCUGAAGAUCCGACUUGAGCUACUCUGGCCAGAUGGCCAGACCACCAAGGCACCAUUUUCGAGUGCAGACAUCAACAUAUGGUUUGUGAAGUCUGAUAGUUUUUUUAUCUAGGUGGUACUUUGUUUGAAGUCUUGUAGUCUAUUUCACUGGUAUGCGCAAAAUAACCUUCCAUGUAGGUUCACAAUUUGUGGUUGCCUCUCUCUAUAUCUAAUGAAAUCCAAUAUCAUACCCUGUAACAUUCAAGAACCAAUGCGUGCUUAGAUCCUUAGUAAAAAGUAAGACCUAAUCAAGAAGAAAUAAUAAAAAUAAGUUCAAGAUA